ensembl:lncRNA
ACCUUGUAGGAUCUGUCCGGAGUGCUGAAAAGGUUUCCGCUGGAGAAGGCUGGAGUCUGGGAGACCAAGUAAUCUGACGAGCUCACCAAGCAGGAUUUUCAAGUCCCAACCAAAGAUCCUUUUAAACAGAAACUGACGUCCAUAAAGGACAAAAACAGUCACAACUAAUUUUUAAAUGGAUAUAAGAGAGAAAUUGAAGGAGAUGCCCUGUGCUCCAUGAGAGGAAGGAGGUACACAAAGCACACCUAACAAGAGGUGGCAUGCCCGAACACUCGGAACUCUAAAGAAUGUCUAGAACGUUGCAUAGCCAAGAAGAUUCUGCAGAAAGCCUAAGCUGAGCUCCCCACGGGGGUAGGGUGGGGGGCUGCAUAGAACCCACGACAAUGAUUUCUUGGCUGCCUCAAAAGGCCAGUAGAUGAGCUCUAGCUCAGUCUCACGGGACUCAGAACAAUGAAACACGUAGGGAAUCAAAACGGUGGCAGGAAGCCACUGCCUUCCGACUGGCCUCUGUCAGUAACUCGGCGGAGAGUAAACUGUGGGAGAGUCUAUCUGCCUGCUCACUCGAGAGCUUUCGAUUCAGCUUAGGCAGCACGGAGAUGGUGCCUGAGUGAGCACAAGCACUUGUUACCCGCCCCUCAAUUUCCCUUCCCCACAGCACCUGCUCCGGAGGGAGACCUAGCACCAGCACCUGAGCCCUCCAGGUGGACUGCCCUCUUCCCUCUGUGAGGUCCCGGUGCAGGCGAGGCUCUGGUCACCUGGCUAGCUCGUUGGCCUGCCCGGGUUCUCUCCCAAGUGGCUGUAGCCUGGGCAAUGCCGCUUGAAGGUUUAACCGAAGCCACCCGCGAAUGGAGCCGGCUUCAACCUCGAGGUUCUGGCCACCCCCGCCGCUCCACCCGCGACCCCUCCCCCAAACACAACUGGGAGCACCCCGCAAGCUUACAGCUCCUUCGUCCUCGGGUGAAGCGCCAGCAAACGCUCUUAUGAGCUCCCCCAGCAACACCUAAUGGCUUCAAAAAUAGAGACUCCCCUCCUUUGCCAAACGUGCCCCUCUGUGCACAUGUAUCGGUAUGCGUGAAGAGACAGAAAGAGAAAUGUCCAAACCCUCCCUUUGGCUCAGACCUCUUUAUUUUUUCUCCUCUGAUUUUU